CUUGACAGUUCUUGACUGUGCACGCCGUCAGUUACGACGAAGAGUGUUCCAUUUGAUUCGACCAACAGAACAUUCUGAUCGUGAAAUUAACGUGUAAGUGGCUGAAUUCUCCACUGACAUGCGUGGCCUUAACGUAAUUCUCAAGAAGAUUCAACAUGACAUACAAAAUGUGAGAAGGUUGGCCCUCUGAAUUACAGUUAUAAUUAAAGGAAGUGCAGCCAACCGUGCCAGAAUAUGUAUCAAUAGUAACUUGUAUCGUUAAGCAUUUUUGCAGAGUUACUGGAAAGACUUUAAUGCUGUUUCGCUGAAAAUAGCAUAAGCGUAGCAAUGGUUUAAACCAGGAAUUACGUUACCAUCAUUUG